UAGGGAAUAUUGGUCAAUGGGGGCAACCCUGAACCAGCCAUGCCGCGUGCAGGAAGACUGCCCUAUGGGUUGUAAACUGCUUUUGUACGGGAAGAAACCCCCGCAUGUAUGCGGGGUUGACGGUACCGUAAGAAUAAGGAUCGGCUAACUUCGUGCCAGCAGCCGCGGUAAGACGAAGGAUCCAAGCGUUGUCCGGAUUUACUGGGUUUAAAGGGUGCGUAGGCGGUUUAUUAAGUCAGUGGUGAAAGCCUGUAGCUUAACUAUAGAAUAGCCAUUGAAACUGAUCAACUUGAGUACGGCUGAGGUGACUGGAAUGUAACAUGUAGCGGUGAAAUGCUUAGAUAUGUUACAGAACACCGAUUGCGAAGGCAAGUCACUAAACCGUAACUGACGCUGAGGC
rnacentral:rRNA from 1 species